UUAAUUUAUAGAAAAGGUGAAGGGAAAUGGAAAUAAUAAUAUGUGCUGUGUAACGUGGGCCCAUGAUCUGUCAGCAUUUGCCAAGCACGACCAAGACCUAUUAUGCAGCUGCAAAAUACAGGUGGCAUGGAUUGCUGUUGAGUGAGUAUGACAUGUUUUUCAAAGGCAGAAAAAUGAAGUCAACAGUCACACGACUAAUUGACAAUCAUUAGUGAGUUGAUCUUUUGCACCAAUUGUUGGUUUAAGGAUUGAAAAAUCUAUCAUUAUCCCUGACAGCAAAAAUUAGCUUGGUGAGAUUCCAGCUCUCAGUUGACUAAUUAACUUCUUUAAUGCUGAUAGACUUCCACCAGGCUCACCUAGG
rnacentral:lncRNA from 1 species